rnacentral:rRNA from 1 species
CUACGGGCCGCAGCAGUGAGGAAUAUUGCGCAAUGGGGGAAACCCUGACGCAGCGACGCCGCGUGGAUGAUGAAGGCCUUCGGGUCGUAAAAUCCUGUCAGAAGGAAAGAAGUGUAUGGUAGCUAAUAUCUGCCAUACUUGACGGUACCUUCAAAGGAAGCACCGGCUAACUCCGUGCCAGCAGCCGCGGUAAUACGGAGGGUGCAAGCGUUGUUCGGAAUUACUUGGCGUAAAGCGCGCGUAGGCGGUUUUAUAAGUCAGAUGUGAAAGUCCACGGCUCAACCAUGGAAGUGCAUUUGAAACUGUAAGACUUGAGUAUUGGAGGGGGUAGUGGAAUUCCCGGUGUAGAGGUGAAAUUCGUAGAUAUCGGGAGGAAUACCGGUGGCGAAGGCGACUACCUGGCCAAAUACUGACGCUGAGGUGCGAAAGCGUGGGGAGCAAACAGGAUUAGAUACCCCGGUAGUC